rnacentral:misc_RNA from 1 species
AAUUAGCCCCGAUUGAAGCAUUUGUUUGAGCUCAUUUUUUUGGAUUCUGCGCGGCUUCGCCGCGCAGAAUCCAAAAAAAUAGCGAGUGCGGAAAGCGGGAAAAAGC